UACGAAGGGGGCUAGCGUUGUUCGGAUUUACUGGGCGUAAAGCGCACGUAGGCGGAUUGUUAAGUCGGGGGUGAAAUCCUGGAGCUCAACUCCAGAAUUGCCUUCGAUACUGGCUUUCUAGAGGCUGGAAGAGGUCAGUGGAAUUCCCAGUGUAGAGGUGAAAUUCGUAGAUAUUGGGAAGAACACCAGUGGCGAAGGCGGCUAACUGGUCCAGAUCUGACGCUGAGGUGCGAAAGCGUGGGGAGCAAACAGG
rnacentral:rRNA from 1 species